rnacentral:snRNA from 1 species
GGAUGUGGAGGGCCGAUCUUGGCUGCCACAUCUGUCACGCCAUUGAUCGCCAGGGUUGAUUCGGCUGAUCUGGCUGGCUAGGCGGGUGGUCCCUUCCUCCCUCACCUUCCAUGUGCGUCCCUCCCGAAGCUGCGCGCUCGGUCGAAGAGGACGACCAUCCCCUCUAGAGGAGGACCGGUCUUCGGUCAAGGGGUAUACGAGUAGCUGCGCUCCCCUGCUAGAACCUCCAAACGAGCUCUCAAGAACCGUGUCCUUUGGCCACCCUGAAGUGCAAUUACAUUCCUUGUGAAAAACCCUAAAGAUGAGAUUG